GACGAACGCUGGCGGCGUGCUUAACACAUGCAAGUCGAACGAAGAGCGAUGGAAGCUUGCUUCUAUCAAUCUUAGUGGCGAACGGGUGAGUAACGCGUAAUCAACUUGCCCUUCAGAGGGGGACAACAGUUGGAAACGACUGCUAAUACCGCAUACGAUCCAAUCUCGGCAUCGAGGAUGGAUGAAAGGUGGCCUCUAUUUAUAAGCUAUCACUGAAGGAGGGGAUUGCGUCUGAUUAGCUAGUUGGAGGGGUAACGGCCCACCAAGGCGAUGAUCAGUAGCCGGUCUGAGAGGAUGAACGGCCACAUUGGGACUGAGACACGGCCCAGACUCCUACGGGAGGCAGCAGUGGGGAAUCUUCCGCAAUGGACGAAAGUCUGACGGAGCAACGCCGCGUGAGUGAUGACGGCCUUCGGGUUGUAAAGCUCUGUUAAUCGGGACGAAAGGUCCUCUUGCGAAUAGUUAGAGGAAUUGACGGUACCGGAAUAGAAAGCCACGGCUAACUACGUG
rnacentral:rRNA from 1 species